rnacentral:lncRNA from 1 species
UAUGUGACUAUCCCCUUAGUAUUAAAUACAUCUCUAGAGUUAAAUACUGUUAGGGAAAUAUUAGGAACCACAGUUAUUUCUAUAAAAUUACUAUUUUACCAUUUCCAAUGUACCUUUUUUCUAUACCAUUUUUUUUUAUUUGCUCUUACAUUUUUUUGAGAGAUAGGUAGCACGCUACCCGCUUCGUUUAUUUCAUUUAGAAAUAAACUUAGUUAGAAAUGUGAAUCAACUAGGAUUUGAACUUGGAACCUCGGGUACCAAUAACCAAGCCCUUUGCCACUUGCUCUAGAAACGGUCCGUUAUUUGCUCUUAAAUUAGGAGGCAAAAGAUGUACUUUGGCUUUUUGCGCUUUCAAAUAUACUCUUCUAUCAUCACCAACUUUUCUUAUUUGCUCUUAAGUAGUAGAAAUUUGAUCCGGCUUUAACCUGAAAUAACUUAACGAGUACUAACAACAGGGUUAAUAUUGAAUAACAGAGAAACAUACGAGAAAGUGUAUUUGAUAUAAAAAAAGUAGGGGUAUAUAAGAUAUUUCAAAAGUUUUCAGGAAUAUAGAAGUAAUUAUCCCUUUUUUUUGAACAAUAAAUUAUUUUAAUUCCUUUGAUAAAAACUUCUAUUAU